AGCUUAACUGUCCGUAUGCUAGGAAUACUGCUAUGCUAGAGGGCGGGAGAGGUCUGAGGUACUACAGGGGUAGGGGUGAAAUCUUAUAAUCCUUGUAGGACCACCAGUGGCGAAAGCGUCAGACUGGAACGCGCCUGACGGUGAGGGACGAAAGCCAGGGGAGCGAACCGGAUUAGAUACCCGGGUAGUCCUGGCCGUAAACGAUGCAUACUAGGCAAUGGUGCGGCCAUGAGCCGCAUCAGUACCGUAGGGAAACCGUUAAGUGUGCCGCCUGGGAAGUACGGUCGCAAGGCUAAAACUUAAAGGAAUUGGCGGGGGAGCACCACAAGGGGUGAAGCCUGCGGUUCAAUUGGACUCAACGCCGGGAAACUUACCAGGGGAGACAGCAGAAUGACAGUCAGGUUGACGACCUUACUCGACGAGCUGAGAGGAGGUGCAUGGCCGUCGCCAGCUCGUGCUGUGAGGUAUCCUGUUAAGUCAGGCAACGAACGAGAUCCGCGCCUUUAUUUGCCAUCAAGAAGUCACGACUUCGUUGGGAACACUAAAGGGACCGCCGUCGAUAAGACGGAGGAAGGAGCGGGCAAAGGCAGGUCAGUAUGCCCCGAAGCCCCUGGGCUACACGCGGGCUGCAAUGGUGCGAACAAUGGGCUGUAACUCCGAAAGGAGAAACCAAUCCCGAAAUCGCAUCUCAGUGGGGAUUGUCGACUGUAACUCGUUGACAUGAACGUGGAAUCCCUAGUAAUCGCGUGUCACCAUCGCGCGGUGAAUACGUCUCUGCUCCGUUGCACUCAC
rnacentral:rRNA from 1 species